AAGUCGUAACAAGGUUUCCGUAGGUGAACCUGCGGAAGGAUCAUUAACGAGCUCAUGCCCUUCGGGGUAGACCUCCCACCCGUGUUUACCAUACCACUGUUGCUUUGGCGGGACGUCGUCCGCGACCGUCGGCUUCGCGCUGAUGUGUGCCCGCCAGAAGGCCCCCAAACCUGAUGAAGACGUGUGGUCUGAGUAGAUAUUUAAAUUGUUAAAACUUUCAACAACGGAUCUCUUGGUUCUGGCAUCGAUGAAGAACGCAGCGAAAUGCGAUAAGUAAUGUGAAUUGCAGAAUUCAGUGAAUCAUCGAAUCUUUGAACGCACAUUGCGCCCCCUGGCAUUCCGGGGGGCAUGCCUGUUCGAGCGUCAUUCGCACCUCUCAAGCUCGGCUUGGUAUUGGGCUCAGCUAGCAGUGGCUGGCGGGCCCCAAACUUAGUGGCAGCGUCGCUGGGACUCGCGCGUAGUACAUUGCUCGCGUCUGAGGCUCCGCGCACGGUGAUCCAACAACUUCCCACCUCAUGGUUGACCUCGGAUCAGGUAGGAAUACCCGCUGAACUUAAGCAUAUCAAUAAGCGGAGGACAAGAAACCAACAGGGAUUGCCUCAGUAACGGCGAGUGAAGCGGCAACAGCUCAAAUUUGAAAUCUGGCUCCUCCGGGGUCCGAGUUGUAAUUUGUAGAAGAUGCUUCGGGCGUGGCGCCGGUCUAAGUUCCUUGGAACAGGACGUCACAGAGGGUGAGAAUCCCGUACGCGACUGCGCGCUGCUGCCCGUGUGAAGCUCUUUCGACGAGUCGAGUUGUUUGGGAAUGCAGCUCUAAAUGGGUGGUAUAUUUCAUCUAAAGCUAAAUAUGGGCCAGAGACCGAUAGCGCACAAGUAGAGUGAUCGAAAGAUGAAAAGCACUUUGGAAAGAGAGUUAAACAGUACGUGAAAUUGUUGAAAGGGAAGCGCUUGCGACCAGACUUGAACGCGGUCGAUCACCCGAGACUCGUCCCGGGGCACUCGAUCGCGCGCAGGCCAGCAUCGAUUUCGGUGGCCGGACAAAGGCCCUGGGAAUGUGACUCCCCCUCGGAGGAGUGUUAUAGCCCAGGGUGUCAUGCGGCCCACCGGGAUCGAGGACCGCGCUUCGGCUAGGAUGCUGGCGUAAUGGUCGCAAGCGACC
rnacentral:rRNA from 1 species